rnacentral:rRNA from 1 species
CCUACGGGAGGCAGCAGUGGGGAAUAUUGCGCAAUGGGGGGAACCCUGACGCAGCAACGCCGCGUGGAGGAAGAAGGUCUUCGGAUUGUAAACUCCUGUCUUCCGGGACGAUAAUGACGGUACCGGAGGAGGAAGCCACGGCUAACUACGUGCCAGCAGGCGCGGUAAU